CUGAGGUGGUUUGGCCUGAAGCAGCAGCAGUAGCAGCUGCCUAGCUUGAAGGACUUUGGUGAGGGCCUCCCUUAUCAACAGGACCAAUAAUGAAAUUUGAGCUGGGUCAGGUGAUAAGAACUCCUGGAGCAAGCUAAGCAACGUUUCCCUUAGGGGCUGGAGAUGGGCCUGCCUGAAGUUUGGACUCUGUCAACCCUGGACAACAAACUGAGAUUCUGAGGUGUGAAAAGGCCUGCUCUGCACCUUAGUCAGCCCCCUCAGAGAGGUUAUGGAGGAGGCCAGUUGAAAGACGAAGGUGUGAAGUAUCUUCACCCAAGCUUCAGAGCAUUCUUUUUGUAUUUACUCCAUUUUGACCGUCUCAGAGCAGGGGGGAGAGCAUGUUGGCACAAGUCAGGAUCCAGAAAUCCAGGGAAAGGUGGCACCAGCUUGUCCAGUAAAGAAUUGGGAUGGCAGCAUCAGCCAGCAUCUGCAAGAUGAGUUGUGUCGAUGGGAAGAUCAUUUCAUGACACUCUGGCUCUGUAAUGGAACCAAAAGCUGCGUUGGAGUUGAUGGCAGAUACACAACAUGGUUUCCUAUUUCCAUGGGAGUUUGGCCAGGCUGUGUUCUGUAACCACUGUUAAAUAUUGGCAUUGAUUGGCUGAUGGAUAGGCUUAAGGAGGCAGCUGUUGGUGGCAUUGAGCUGAACACCAUGCGGCUUUGAAGUCUCUAAUACACCGGUGGCAUUGUCAUGUUGGCUCAGUUUGGUGGAUCGCUGGAGCUGAUGGCUGAUGUGGCUGGGCAAGAAACAGCAUGCGUUGGUUUGGUUAUUAAUCAGGAUAAAACUAAACCCCUGGCCAUUACCAUCAAGCAGCCUCCAGUUCCAGAGUACAGCCAGCUCAAUAUUAACCCAUCCAGAUGGGACAUUGAACAGGUGGCAACUGUCAAAUAUCUGGGCAUCAUCCUAGACAGUGCUGGAGCAUGCUUGAAAGAGGUGGAUGCAUUUAUAGCAGCAGCUGCUGCCACGUUUCAGGCCUUUCAGUGGCCUCUGUGGAGACUUUGCGAUAUCAAGUAUGCUACAUAGCUACAGUGCUAUAGAAUCACGUUUAUAUCAACUCUUGUACAGAGAAGUGAAACAUGGAUGCUGUGGAAGGCUGAAGAACCCUGGAUCGAUGUUUCUGGUUCUUGUUAAUUUGUCAGCUGCUCCAUAUCCAGUGAAGGACAAGAUCAGAAAUAAGGAUUUUUUUAAGAUGAAUCCAGUGACCACCUCCAUCAACACAGGGUUGGUUUUGGCAACUUUCUUGGUAUGGACAUACUAUUAGACUGGAAGGUUAAUGAACUCCAAAGUGUGUAUUAAGGAAUACUGCUACGUGACGGGCAGUCACAUGGGCACCAAAAGCUUCGGUGGUAUGAUAAGAUUGCUGGUGAUGGACCAUAAACUGAAUAUACAGCCAGACCAUCUUAAGAACCUAGCCAGAGAUUCAUCUGUGUGGCACUUGAUCCUUUUGGAAUUUGCCCUGAUGAUGAUAAGGGGAGUUAUGCACCCAACUCCAAUUGAAAGUUAGUGCAUUGACAUGGCUGCAAAGCAGUCAUCUGCAGGAGAAGAAAGAAAAAGCACUGAUACUCCAGGUGAAUGCCCCGUAUAACUUUCUGAUGGAGCCAGUGUAUCAAAGGAGGCAAAGCUACCAGCUGGGACCAAAGCAAGAAAGUACUAAUACGUAAACCAUUCCCAUCAGAAGGGAAAUAACAGUGGGUGGCUCUCGUAUCUGCUGUUUUUAAUAAUACAUGGAGAUUGCUAACAAAUCAGCCAUUUUCAAACUGUUAAUUGCAGAAAUGUUUGUCACCUCCCCAGGACAUAUCUCACUCGCAUCGUCCUGAAAUAUAUUUUCUCCCUUUUAUUUUUUCUGCUUUUCCAUGGGAAGAUUUUAAAAUGACAGUCACUCUCAGAAUGCAAAUCAGCAUGGAGAAAGAGAGAGCAUGAAAGAUAGUGAUAAAGAUUUUAAGUAUUAAAAUGAUAUGCAUAGAUAGCCCUUCCUUCAAGGGGACAUUCUGAAGGUGCCAGAAAAGAUUUAUAUAAUUAGCUGGCAAUGAGUUGCACAGUGAGUUUUUGAAUAAAAUAAAUAUUUUGAGUACACGCGCGCACACACAUGCAGCAUAAGCCCUUGGGUCAGCAAAGGAAAAUCUGAAAGCUGAAAUACUGCUUGACAGCCCAUUGAGAAGAAAAUCACCAGCUUUGAAGCUUCCUGGACUUUACUGUCCUUCUGAAAACUCCCUCCCCUCCAUCACCAAAAAACCCCUAUGACACCCGAUCAAAUUCCUAAGUGUCAUCAGACAUGACAGACGUUGCAGCUAUGAUCUGUUAUCAACUGGCAUAAAGCUCUGCUCCCAGGUAUAUUUGAUCAGGGGGGACAGACUAUAAAUAGGUAUUCAUAAAAUAUUUAUGGUUAUUUUUAAAAUAUUUUGGGGGAGGAUGAGUGAAAAAUUAUACUGUAAAGUUCAACAAAAAUAUCUCACGGUUUUGUUGGUUUAUUUAUUUUUAAAUUGCAUAAAAUGGUAAAAGGAGAAAUCACGAAGGAGCUAAGCCAGCCUACAGUCAAUUUUACUUGCUGGAUAGAAAAUUCUGUUAAGCCCAGCCUAGACUUCACCUUCUCAUUUGGUUAAUCAGUAAGUCCCAUGACUAACGUAACUAGAUACAGUGGCCAUGUUCAGCAGAUAGAGAGACACAGGGGCAGCUCUAGGUAUUUUGCUGCCCCAAGCACCGCAGGCAGGCUGCCUUUGGCGGCUUGCCUGCCGGAGGUCCCCAGUCCCGCGGAUUCGGCACCACGCCUGCGGGAGGUCCGCC